rnacentral:tRNA from 1 species
GCGUCCAUAGCUCAACUGGACAGAGCAACGGCCUUCUAAGCCGUGGGUCGGGGGUUCGAGUCCCUCUGGACGCA